rnacentral:snoRNA from 1 species
AUCCUUUUGUUGUUCAUAAGCGUGAUGAUUGGGUGUUCACGCGACUGCGUGACAUGUGCCUCCUUCAAUCCUUGUUACGACAGCGGCACAUUUCCUGUCUAACG